AACGAACGCUGGCGGCAGGCUUAACACAUGCAAGUCGAACGCUCGACCUUCGGGUCGGGAGUGGCAGACGGGUGAGUAACGCGUGGGAACGUGCCCUUCGGUUCGGAAUAACCCAGGGAAACUUGGGCUAAUACCGGAUACGUCCUGGCCUGGAGACAGGGUGGGAGAAAGGUUUACUGCCGAAGGAUCGGCCCGCGUCGGAUUAGCUAGUUGGUGGGGUAACGGCCCACCAAGGCGACGAUCCGUAGCUGGUCUGAGAGGAUGAUCAGCCACACUGGGGACUGAGACACGGCCCAGACUCCUACGGGAGGCAGCAGUGGGGAAUAUUGGACAAUGGGCGAAAGCCUGAUCCAGCCAUGCCGCGUGAGUGAAGAAGGCC
rnacentral:rRNA from 1 species